UACGUAGGGGGCAAGCGUUGUCCGGAUUUAUUGGGCGUAAAGAGCUCGUAGGUGGUUCGGUAAGUCGGAUGUGAAAUCUCCAGGCUCAACCUGGAGGGGUCAUUCGAUACUGCCGUGACUAGAGUUCGGUAGGGGAGUGUGGAAUUCCUGGUGGAGCGGUGAAAUGCGCAGAUAUCAGGAGGAACACCCGUAGCGAAGGCGGCACUCUGGGCCGAUACUGACACUGAGGAGCGAAAGCGUGGGGAGCGAACAGA
rnacentral:rRNA from 1 species